rnacentral:rRNA from 1 species
GUUUACAGUCACACCUCCCUGAAAGUACCCCAUUUCAUUUGAUCUUGGAAGCUAAGCGGGAUCGGGAUUGAUUUUACCACUUCAAUGGGAACUGAAGAAAAGAAUGUGGACA